GGGGAAUAUUGCACAAUGGAGGAAACUCUGAUGCAGCAACGCCGCGUGAGUGAAGAAGGUUUUCGGAUUGUAAAGCUCUGUCAUCUGGGACGAUAAUGACGGUACCAGAUGAGGAAGCCACGGCUAACUACGUGCCAGCAGCCGCGGUAAUACGUAGGUGGCAAGCGUUGUCCGGAAUUACUGGGCGUAAAGGGUGCGCAGGCGGACAUUUAAGUGAGAUGUGAAAUCCCCGGGCUUAACUUGGGGGCUGCAUUUCAAACUGGAUGUCUAGAGUGCAGGAGAGGAAAUCAGAAUUCCUAGUGUAGCGGUGAAAUGCGUAGAGAUUAGGAAGAAUACCAGUGGCGAAGGCGGCUUUCUGGACUGUAACUGACGCUGAGGCAUGAAAGCGUGGGGAGCAAAC
rnacentral:rRNA from 1 species